GGCCGCGGACACGGCGGCCAUGAGGCGAGCGCAGCGCUCUCGCCAGGAGACGCUGUCCUUACGGCGGCGGAUCAUCGGCUCUUCUUGCAGACUGUUUUAUCCUAAUGAUCCGCUGAAGAUUGUAAAGGCAAGAGGCCAGUACAUGUAUGAUGAGAACGGAAGACAAUACCUUGACUGCAUAAACAACGUUGCUCAUGUUGGACAUUGUCACCCCGAUGUAGUACAAGCAGCCCACGAGCAAAACCAAUUGCUAAAUACAAAUUCUCGUUAUCUUCAUGACAACUUGACGGAUUAUGCAGAGAGACUUUCAGAAAAGCUGCCUGAGAAGUUGUGCACCUUUUAUUUCUUGAAUUCUGGAUCUGAGGCUAAUGAUCUUGCCCUAAGACUGGCACGACAGUUUACAAAGCAUGAGGACGUUAUAGUUCUAGACCAUGCUUACCAUGGACAUCUGACAUCCCUGAUUGACAUAAGCCCAUAUAAAUUCAGAAAUCUAGAAGGACAGAAGGAAUGGGUCCACGUGGCUCCUGUUCCAGACACAUACAGGGGACUAUACAGAGAGGACCAUGAAGAUCCAGCAACAGCCUAUGCUAAUGAAGUAGAAAAUAUUAUUAAGCAAGCACAUAAGAAAGGCAGAAAGUCCAUGUUUCAGAUUGCUGCGUUUUUUGCUGAAUCUCUGCCAAGCGUCGGUGGUCAAAUCAUCCCACCAGAAGGCUACUUCCACAAAGUUGCAGAGCACGUGCACAAGGCAGGAGGUGUAUUUGUUGCUGAUGAAAUUCAGGUCGGCUUUGGCAGGGUUGGCAAGCACUUUUGGGCAUUCCAGCUUCAGGGAGAAGAGUUUAUACCUGACAUAGUCACUAUGGGGAAACCCAUAGGUAAUGGGCACCCUAUUGCCUGCGUAGCAACAACAAAAGAAAUCGCAGAAGCAUUUGCAGCCACAGGAGUCGAGUAUUUCAACACAUUUGGAGGAAACCCUGUUUCAUGUGCCAUUGGAUUAGCUGUUCUGGAUGUGAUAGAGAAGGAACAGCUUCAGGUUCAUGCCACAGAAGUUGGCAACUUCUUGAUGAAGCUACUCGUGGAGCAAAAAAUCAAGCACCCCAUCAUUGGUGAUGUCAGAGGUUCUGGCCUAUUCAUUGGAGUGGACUUAAUUAAAGAUCAAGCAAAAAGGACCCCAGCCACAGAAGAAGCAGAGUAUUUAAUAACAAGGCUUAAAGAAGAAUAUAUUCUACUGAGUACAGAUGGGCCAGGAAGAAAUGUACUUAAAUUCAAGCCCCCAAUGUGUUUCGCUAUGGAGGAUGCAAAAUUUGUAGUGGACACCAUUGACAAGCUUUUAACAGAUAUGGAAAACAAACAGCUGAACCAGGAGAAAACAUCCAUUGGCUCAACCUAAGCAGCCAGUAUUACUGCACAUCCAGAAGCAUCUGAUUUAUCAUGCUGCUCAGGCCAAGGUAAGUCAGUCACUACCUGCCAUUCAAGCCAGCUACUGCUAUCAGAGUACUUUAUGCCACCCCUUCCCCACCAUCAGUUUCCUCACAGGAAAGUGGAGAGGUCACCUCAGCACAGCCACUACUGCCUGCAGGGUGGCUACAAGGCUGUCCCCCAAUCUGCACAAACUCUAGGACUAAGCUGCUGAACUGCUUCACCUGAGCUGCACUGACUGAAGAGCUACCAACAAGGCUGAAAAAUAAGCCAAAUGAGUUUUCCUGGCAGCCUUCGUGCAGCCUGUACUAUGAGUAUGUUGGACUGUGAAGUACACUUCACCAACAGUUGAAAACAUAACUUCUCCAAUACUACAAAUAGUUAAAAAUAACUGGAAUUAAAAGUUCCAGGACUGGCCCCCAAGCUCUAUUUCAAGUUAUCAGCCAGCUUCUACUUCCUAGAUCGGUGUAUGGUUGGAGAUGAAGCAGUGAGAGGAAUACCACCCUGCGAUGGUACCUCAGGAAACUUUGCUUAGAAUUCUUCACACUGGAUCCUGCUUUAAGAGUAAAGACAGUGGUAUUCUGCUUAACAGCCUGGUCAAAGAUUCACAAAUCUAAGUUUCUACCUUGCUUCCACUGACGUUAUGGAAUUUCUUCUCCAAAACUUUCUUCACUGGAUCUUCUUCCUUGAAAGUGAUGAACACAAACCCCCUCCUUUUGUUGGUCUUUGGAUCCAUUGGAAGUUCAAUUGCUUCAAUCUAAAGACAUGAAAUACUGUCUUAGGCUCAAAUUUUAGCAGAACAAUAAAGUGCAUAGCAUUUGGUACAGUAAAACUGUAAGUUUAUCUAUACAUAUUAAGCAACACUGAAGUUGCAAUGUUCCUCCCAUAGAAAGCUUAGCUUUCAAACCAGAGGCUUCAACUAACUUUACAAGUCUUAAAAAGAAUUUUAACAUAAAAUAGAAUGGUUUGAGUUCAAAUGAGGUAUCUAACUAGCAACAUAAGCAUUUAGUGCAAUGCCUGCCUUGCUUCAAGAUAAGAAGCCUCUGGAUCAGUUACAAAAGGCUUGACACAUCUGAAAUUACUAAUAAUUGCAAGCCAUAGUAAUCUAAACAGCAACUGUUAACUAUACUGCAUUUCAGUGUUCAGUUAGCAUUACACACCUCUCCAAACUCGCCAAAGUAUUCCCUGAUUUUCUCUUCUGUGGCUUCGGGGUUAAGUCCACCAACAAAUAUUUUCUUCACUGGAUCCUUUUUCAUUGCCAUGGCCUUCUUGGGGUCAAUUAGUCGUCCAUCUAGCCUGUGUUCUUUCUGUUCCAGAACCUAAGAGGCAAUUUAAUUAGAUUAACUUAAGCUAGAAAAUUUCCCUCUAAUUUAAGAAUCUGAGAAAUUGAGGACAAAGCUUAAACUCACCUUUUCAACACUCCCAGGUUCUUUGAAGAGUAUAAAUCCAAAGCCUCUGGAUCUCCCUGUGUUGGGGUCCAUCUUUAUCGUACAGUCAGUUACCUCACCGAACUUGGUGAAGUAGUCUUUCAAGUCUUUUUUGCUUGUAUCCCAACUGAGGCCACCAACAAACAUUUUCCUGAAAUUCCAAAGAGAACAGCUGUUUAGAUUCAGGAAGUACUACCGAAAAGCACAUGCAGGAAGAUGUUCACAGCAGCACAAGCCUCAGCAGCAUUGUCAGAACAGGUCCAAAUGUUGAAGGUUAAACACUUCUGCAUCUUGUCAAAAACUAACGCUACAGGGACACACGAGGGUUUGAUUUUUUUCUUUUUCCCCUCCCUCUUCUUUGAGGGAAUUACAGUACACUGAAAUUUAUGAGGUCCUGUCAAAAAAGCAGGAAAAAUUGCUUCAAAUGCUUCUCACCAGUAACUUCUGUUCUUCCGCUGUCAUUCUGUUACUUACAAUGAAGCAGUAUUGAUUAUCAAUUACUGCCUUUUCCUUUUUGAAAGGAACUGAGGUCACACAUACUGCUGUGAAAGCACUCGGGCUAGAAAAGGGCACCAAAAUCAAAACACUUAAGAUCUGUCUUAAUUUGGAGAAAUGAAUGUAAAAAUAUUAGCCUUACCACUUAAGAGAUAUUUAAGAGACAUCUGGGACAUCUAAGAUCAGUCUCCUACAGACAGGACUUUGGACCUGCCUUAACAAAUACACUGUGCACUUCUUCCUGCUCGCUUCCUGAAUCUAGUUCCAUCUUCAUCAGUGUGACAAUAUUAAGCCAGUCUUUGCUUUCAUGGGAGGCCACGAUACAGUUCUUCCUUACCCACACUCCCACACAGAUUACCUCUAAAGUAUCACAAAGAACUAUAAACUACUCAAGUGCAAUACAGAAUUGAAACUAAACAAAACUAAGAUCAGUCAACAAGGCACUUUUCAAAUGCCUCACUUAAAUAAUACCAUUAAUAGCACAAUUGUUUUCUAUUUUCAGAGUUUCCAAGGUAACAAACCGAGCUUUUAAAAGCAUGCGAGCCUUUUUACCUAACUGCAGACUAAAGCAGUUUAAGUUGUCACUACUCUGUUCUGAGGUAACCACGAUCUGGCAAUAGAAGCUAGCAGCAAUUUAUAAACUAGCCUACAUCUAAGUAAAAUUGGCUGUUGGUGUUAAUGUAUAACUUUAACCUGCCAAAACCAGCCUCCAUUUAGGAUCAAGUAGCAACUUGAGAAAAAGAUCUGCAAAGUGAUUGAUCUGUUUGCUUGACUUUUUUCAUUUUACUGGAGAAAACCAUAUCCUUCACAGGCUAAAUCAGUAAUUUUUCAGAUCCAGCUGCACUCCCAACUAAGUAGUGCAGUUUAGUCUUUAAGGCCUAAGUCACAUCCGUGCUUCUUACAGCCCUUAAAAUAGAGGCCUUAAAGAGAAGGCCUUCCAGAGUUUAAUAAACGUUUCAAUAAAGAUAAAAGGUAACUUGAUGGCUCCAUUCUCAUUGAAAUCGCUUACUGACCAAGCAACCAUGCAAAACAUAAACAGACUGACAGUUGUUUUCAGUA